UGGGGAAGAUAGGACAAUGGGGGGAACCAUGAUCCAGCCAUGCCGCGGGUGUGAAGAAGGCCAUAUGGUGGGAAAGCAAGGUAAGCGAGGAGGAGGGUACUGGGAUGAAUACGACUAGGUACUGGACGGUACUCGCAGAAUAAGCACCGGAGAACUCUGGGCCAGCAGCAGCGGGAAUACAGAGGGAGCGAGCGGUAAGCGGAGUUACUGGGCGGAAAGCGUGCGUAGGCGGCUAAGUGAGUCGGAUGUGAAAACCCCGAGCUUAAAGUGGGAAUUGCAUUCGGUACUGGGUAGGUAGAGUGUGGGGGAGGAUGGUAGGAUUCCAGGGGGAGCGGUGAAAUGCGUAGAAAUCUGGAGGAAUACCGAUGGCGAAAGGAGCCAACUGGCCUAACACUGACGCUGAGGUACGAAAGCAUGGGGAGCAAACAGG
rnacentral:rRNA from 1 species